GCCAGCAGCCAUACCGCCCUGCAGCUCCCAGCUGGCAGCCCACUGCAGCUCAGCAGUGUGAGCCUGGGAGGUGCCUGGAUGGGAGACCUCCUGGGAAAGCUCAGGCUGCCGCUGGAA
rnacentral:rRNA from 1 species